GACGUAGGGCGCGAGCGUUGUCCGGAUUUAUUGGGCGUAAAGAGCUCGUAGGCGGCUUGUCGCGUCGACUGUGAAAACCCGCGGCUCAACUGUGGGCGGGCAGCUGAUACGGGCAGGCUGGAGUUCGGUAGGGGAGACUGGAAUUCCUGGUGUAGCGGUGAAAUGCGCAGAUAUCGGGAGGAACACCUAUGGCGAAGGCAGCUCGCUGGGACGUUACUGACGCUGAGACGCGAAAGCGUGGGGAGCAAACAGG
rnacentral:rRNA from 1 species